GGCGGGACUACCCGCUGAGUUUAAGCAUAUAAAUAAGCGGAGGAGAAGAAACUUACAAGGAUUCCCCUAGUAACGGCGAGCGAACCGGGAGCAGCCCAGCUUGAGAAUCGGGCGGCUGUGCCGUCCGAAUUGUAGUAUGGAGAGGCGUCCUCAGCGACGGACCGGGCCCAAGUCCCCUGGAAAGGGGCGCCUGGGAGGGUGAGAGCCCCGUCCGGCCCGGACCCUGUCGCCCCACGAGGCGCCGUCAACGAGUCGGGUUGUUUGGGAAUGCAGCCCAAAUCGGGCGGUAGACUCCGUCCAAGGCUAAAUACAGGCGAGAGACCGAUAGCGAACAAGUACCGCGAGGGAAAGAUGAAAAGGACUUUGAAAAGAGAGUCAAAGAGUGCUUGAAAUUGCCGGGAGGGAAGCGGAUGGGGGCCGGCAAU
rnacentral:rRNA from 1 species